UCUUCUUGGGCAACUUUAUCUUUAUCUUCGUGGGCAACUUCAUCCUUGUCCCGAUUCUUUUCAAUGAAAUCAAUGAUAUCUUCUUUGGUCCUAUCCCCUUCAUAUUGCACCAACUGUCCACUUGCUGACCUGAAGUACACAGUGGGGUAUCCCUUAACGUCGAAAGCAUCGUUUGGGAUAUCAUUUGCAGUUGCAUCAAGCUUUGCAAUAACAACAUCAGGAUCACUCUGGUAUGAAAUGGCAACUUCAUCCAAGAUUGGAGCCAAUUUUUUGCAGUGUCCACACCA
rnacentral:misc_RNA from 1 species